GAUGAACGCUGGCGGCGUGCUUAACACAUGCAAGUCGAACGGGAAAUAUUUCAUUGAGACUUCGGUGGAUUUGAUUUAUUUCUAGUGGCGGACGGGUGAGUAACGCGUGGGUAACCUGCCUUAUACAGGGGGAUAACAGUCAGAAAUGGCUGCUAAUACCGCAUAAGCGCACAGAGCUGCAUGGCUCAGUGUGAAAAACUCCGGUGGUAUAAGAUGGACCCGCGUUGGAUUAGCUAGUUGGUGGGGUAACGGCCCACCAAGGCGACGAUCCAUAGCCGGCCGGAGAGGGGGAACGGCGACAUUGGGACUGAGACACGGACCAGACUCCUACGGGAGGCAGCAGUGGGGAAUAUUGCACAAUGGGGGAAACCCUGAUGAAGCGACGCCGCGUGAAGGAAGAAGUAUCUCGGUAUGUAAACUUCUAUGAGCAGGGAAGAUAGUGACGGUACCUGACUAAGAAGCCCCGGCUAACUACGUG
rnacentral:rRNA from 1 species